CGAAUGAACAGGAACAAGCCUAGUUUGGAAAUUAAGGUUGAUGACCUUGACUUGUUUCUUCAGAUGCUAUCCCAGCAAAGGUGCACAUGUAGAUGUUUUGGAAAAGGAUUUCGAGGAAGGUGACAUGCCUGUCUGAGAUGUGUGGUCCUUUGUAUACGGGAUGCGUUUCAUGAGUCACGUUCCUUGAAAUUGGAACGCAAAGUAGGUGGUAAUUUUCACCCAAGGCUACUUAUGAGUGUGAAACCGAUAGCAAACAAGUACCAUGAGGGAAACAUGAAAAAGGACUUUGAAAAGAGAGUUAAAAGUGCUUGAAAUUGCUGAACUGGAAGCGAAGGAUGUUUGAAUGCCGUGAUAGAUUGCUAUAAUUGGUUGCUGCUCUUGAGAUUGCCUAAGGUGAUCUUAUAGAUGGGGCAACAUGGUUGUAGUGUUGCUGUCUUGGUGUGCUAGUGCCCUCAUGAGUUGGAGCAUGCAGUCUGGAGCAUGGAAGCUCGCUGGUUGAGUGUGUGAAUGCUGUAGUUGCUGCUUGGACAUGUUAGGUUUGGCAGCUUCUUUUAGGGAUGCAUCUGUUCCCUUCUGGGUGGCAUAUCCUAUCCUUGUAUGUAAGUUGCUGAUACUAGUGAAUAAACACCUUUCGACCCGUCUU
rnacentral:rRNA from 1 species